AGUAUAACCUGUUAUACUCUUUUUAUCCCAGGCUCAUUGAGAUCUAGGCAAGGGAAGUGAGCCUGACCUCUUCAACUAGGUUCUGCUGCCAAAAACUUCAUGGUCACCGCAGUUCAAACAGAAGUUUCUCAGUCAGUGACAAGACAGGGAAGUAGAACGUGUUGGUGAAAAUGAGACUAGAGAAAAAUGAAAGCAGAUUUAUAACACUCUACAUUCAGGAAAACACAUGACUGAGUCUGUUGUAUGCAACAUGGCUUGCUGAAAGUGCUCUAAAGUAGGAGACAGGAGAGAAAGAGAAAAAGUCUACUCUGAGCUCAGGCAGUAACUGACUGGUGUAAACUCCCUGGCCUUUAUGUGGAGGGACCGUAAAACAAAAAGAAUUGCAAACCUCUGCCACAGUACCCACUACUUUCUACUUGACUCUGUUAUUUCUGGAUCUGCCUACCAGAGUCCAUAUUCCUCACUGAAGAUGGAGUUUAGGUGUGGAAAAAGUCUACAUGCAAAGUAACUACUAAUGAAAGUUUGUGAAGAUGUUAAAAUCAACAAAUUAAUCACCCUUAUCUUGAGAAUAUUUUUCCCUUUGCUAAUGUUGACAUCUUUACUUAAUUCUUGUAUUUCUCUUUCCUUUUAUUGCCAAAAAUUUUAAAUAAAUGAGCUAUAUUCAGUUCCUCAGUAGCAAUACUUUAUUAUUGCACAUGUAUUUUAAUGGCAUCUUAUGUGUCAGAUUCAAAGGUCUUCAUCCAUUCUCAUUUUUCUUCACACUUUUUGAGUUCUCACUCCUAUUCACCAUAAAUUUUUCUUGAAAGCUUCUUUAUCCCCAAAUUUCAAAAUACUGGAGGAUUCUUCUCCUCAAUUCUGCCUCUCUCUUUUGGUAAUAACUCCUAAAUUGAUACAACACCCACGUUGCACUCUCUGAUUGCUGUGCUGUGAGUAUGCAAGUAUGAAUAAGACAGGUUUCUGGGACCUCCCAAUCUAGCGAAAUGCAAGAGCAUGGGGCCUAUCUGCUGUGAGAGGCAUAACCAAAGCACUAAGGUGGAACUGAUGCUGGCCUAAUAAAUAUGUGGGGGGAGGCAGCAUGGGAACAGGGAACAGCAAAUGGAAAAUUGUGGUAAUAACAACCUGUGAUAUGUCAGAAACUGGGUGAGAAAUUUAUCAAGGCUAGAGCUUAAAGGUAGAUAAAAAGUUGAAGAUCAGGAGAGCUGAAAAGAAGACUGAGGACUGAGUUGUAAAGGAUUUUACUCUUUAUGCAAAUAUAUUUGCUCUUUAAUGAACACAGUCAGUGCUCAAUAAGUGCUGGGUAAAAGUAUCAAUAAAUCAUUUGACUAACUAGCAUGUGUUGAAUAGGAAGUGAAAAAUAAAUGAUCUCUGAUUAUGAGAAACAUAAUAUGUAGUUGGAGGGAAAACAGUUUAUAGGAUGAGAAAACAUAGAAUACUACAAAAUUAUACAAGGCACAUAAGUAUGGGAGAAAAGAGUAUUAAUCAAUGUGUAUAUACUGACUAUUAGUCCUUGAAUGCCAAGUAGGCUUUGGGUAGAGUCAGAAGAGAAAGGAUGACAUUUAGGUAAAUGGAAAAGCUCAAACAAAGACAUAGCUGAAAAUUGGCCAAGAAUGGAAUAAGAAUAAUACUGGCAUUGGGCUACAUGAAUAACUACUGUGUGUUGGGAAAUGUAAUAGUCAUUGAUGUUUGCAAUAGCCAGCAACCAAGCUGGCCACAAAGAGUCCCAUUCUCAUAUUUAUUAGCAAG
ensembl:lncRNA